rnacentral:rRNA from 1 species
UACGAAGGGGGCUAGCGUUGCUCGGAAUUACUGGCGUAAAGCGCACGUAGGCGGAUCUUUAAGUCAGGGGUGAAAUCCUGGAGCUCAACUCCAGAACUGCCUUUGAUACUGAGGACCUUGAGUUCGGGAGAGGUGAGUGGAACUGCGAGUGUAGAGGUGAAAUUCGUAGAUAUUCGCAAGAACACCAGUGGCGAAGGCGGCUCACUGGCCCGAUACUGACGCUGAGGUGCGAAAGCGUGGGGAGCAAACAGG